GCCCCCGAUCCCGAUCGGAGAGGGGCCGGUUUCCUAAACCGGUACAGGUGGGUUCGACUCCCGCCGGGGGCU
rfam:Chondromyces apiculatus DSM 436 contig24, whole genome shotgun sequence.